AGCAAUGUCUAUCCUUUCCAUCAGGAAAGCAGAAGCCUUCCUAGAAGCUCCCCGCAGAUGAUGGCUCAUUAUCCAUGAGUCAGACAGGGUCACACAUGACCAACUCUGGCUGCCAAGAAGGCUGGGUGAAGGUGUUUUUUACUCUGGCUUCUGUAGUGGAAAUGGAAGAGAGAGACUGCGAGUGGAUGCAGCAGCCGAUCAGGGUGGAUGUAAGCAUACAAAACUCGCAGUUCUAGGAGACUAACUCAGAAAAGUCAGGAAAGCAUGAUAUCAUGGAAGCCAAGGAAGAAAGGAUUUCAAGAGGAUGAGUGGUCAACCUUCAACAAGAAGUUAUUAAGCACAUUCUAUGCACCUAGAAGCAGAAAGGAAGACUGAGCCAGAUCGCGGAGUCUUCAAUAAAUGAUGGAGCAAGACAAGAAGUUUGGAAGAUGACAGCAAUGUGGAAAGAAAGUGUGCAGUAGGAGGUAGCCUCUGGACAGCUCCAUGUACAUUGUUGAUCAAGAGCUUGAAAGUGAAAAAGAACAUAAUAUUAUUAUGAAAAUAGAUUUGACCUCCUGGAACCACUUGAAAGGGUCAAAAUAAUUAUUUUUUCUAAGGGACAGCAUUUUGAGAGACUCUUUCCUUAGAGGAUCUUCUUGGUAUUAGAGGGUCAUGCCCUCUCUUCCUGAAAACUUAGGGCUCCUCCAAAGACCUGUUCUUGCUUCUCCGGGUCAAGGGUAAAGUCAAGUUUCCAAGAUUCGGAGACAUGAUUGCUUUCUGAGAACAGGUUGAAAUAAACACUUCUUGUUCUUUUUUAGUGAAACACCCACAGAACUCAUGGCAGUUUCUUAGAUUAAGCCGCUACAGAAGAAUGGUAGGUGUUAUUGGUUGAGGGUAGAUGGGGAAUGGUUUGAAAGCAACCGACAGAGAGGGGAAGAGGUGGUAAAUGAGCCCCUUGCGAGGGCUCAGGACACAUCCAUGUCCCCACUAAAGCUGGGCAGUUUGAAUCCUAUUAGACUCCACGCUGGUUUUCUCCUUGCAUAAUCUUUUCCAGAAAUUUCUCCUUCACAGUCAUAAUGUGGACUGAUAAAUGGACUUACUAGCCUCUCUCCUUUAUCUGUUUCUCCAGACUAGCAUGUCUUUCUAUCCACUUGAAAUCUUGCUAGCUGUGUGGCCUUGAGCACCUCUCUAAACCCCACUUUCCCCAACUUGCAAAAUGGGAGAUUGUGGUGGUAUCCAUCCCAGAAGACUGUGCAGGCACAUAAGAAAAUGCAUGCAAAUUCCCCAGCAUAGUUCAAGUCUGGGACACGACAGACAUUCACUUCACAUUAGUCAUUAUCAAUGGGCAUCUCUGGUGAGGCCUCUGUGAGGCCUAAGAGCUCAUUGAGGCUUCUUCUUUAAUAUAGGGCUUUUACUCUAUAUCCUCUCGAUAGUCCUUUAAUGGCCUCCGCCAUGCUACUGAUUCCCAUUUUGUGUGUAUCAUAUCAGGGGCUGGGAAGCCUGCGAGCAUCUCCUUGCUGUGCCUGCAUCUUCUGUAUUUAUCUGAUUAUCUUUGUCUGCAAGCACCAGCCAUCACCAUCCCAUCCGCAUGUCUCUUUGCUUUCUUGCUGUUUCUCCUCAUUCAUUUUAAACCACGACUGGCUUUAGGCCCAUAGUAAAAUCACCAUGGGUUACAAAGCAAGUUCAGAAACACAAAGCCAUUUCUAUAUGGAUCAUUUCUGCUGAACCACUUUCACCCUGGCUUGUUGGGAUUGGGGGAGAGUGAUUGUGGCCACAACGGCUGCAGUUCUGCCCCCCCUUCC